rnacentral:misc_RNA from 1 species
UGACAUGGCAACAAGACAUUGAAUUGCUAUUUCUCGGACAUUAGAAACUUAUAUGUGAAUGGUCACAAGUAAACAUCGGAUCUAUAAGCGGACAGCUGGGUAGGAAGUAAAUGUGUGGAGCACAAGUUGAAAGUUAUACUCUGGCCACUUGAAUUUUAAAUAAGAUCACCUCAAAUCAAAUAACAAAAAUCUGAUAUUUACAAAGUAAAUAUAACAUUUACAGGAAUGAAAAAUAUGAACUAGCUUAAAAUUGUUAAUUCAUAUAAAGAGUACAACAGAAAAAAUUGAAUUUUUUCAUCAAGGAGAGAUUUAUUACCAUCGUACAAGGUAUGCAACAAGUUCAAUUAGGCAUUUAAUGAUAACAUGAGCAUUCUCUAUGACAGCUUUUCAAACUAGGGAGCUUAAUGCACUUGCUGGGAAAAAAUAAAUCCCUCCCUCGAACAGAGUACAUUUGGAAGCCUAGAAGCGACUAAUAACCAGAUAAUUCCUGCCGGUAAAAAUAACUAUUGAAAAGCAAGCCUCAUGAUCUGGAAAUUCUAGAUUAAGGCUAAUUAACAAGUAGAAUAAAGCCAAUGCAUGACAACAUUAAUAUAAAAGGAUUUUACAAGAGUUAAGGCCAACUAAUGGCCUGGCAUUUUAAAAAAUCUCUUGCUCAGGAUUUUCAGCAGUGCAUUUGGUUUCCUCUUUUCCUUGUUCCACAUAGCAGUAUCUACCCAGGAAAGAAAGAGAUGGAUGUAAGAUGCGUCAAUCCUCCAAUGGAAGGCAGCCAAGGAACAAAGUAAUAUCAACAAGAUUAGUUCCAUUCACCAAGACCUCUAGUUAAAUACACCUGAGAACUUAUACAAAUUUCAACAGCCAAAGAGUUUUCUGGUAUUCUAUAAUCAUGUUGUAUAGAUAUCAAUUUUAAAUCCAAACCUCUACAGAUAUCUGUUCGAAAAUGCCUCAUCUGCUACGAACAAGAAGUUAAAAGAAGAUAACGUUUAUCACAAUAAAAUUAAAAAGCUGUUUUUAACAACUUUUAUCAUGUUUUUUUGAUAUUUAUGUUUUGUUUUUGAAUUUCGAAUUUAUAAUAUUUAAAAGGUAUGAUUGAGGCAAGGAAGCUCAUAGGCUCAUAGGAAGCUCUUGUCAUUCAAUUUGCAUAUGAAGAAAAACAUAAAAUUAAGCCAACAUAUGCCAGAGCAGAACAAAGACUUCUUCAGAAAAAAACAACAAAGCCAAGCAAAUAAAACAAAAUCAAGACAAGCUAGGAGGAGAACAAGAAGUUAAGACAUCAACAUAAGUGGAUAAUUCUUUCAUAAUAAACAUGAUGUGACAGCUCUAAUCUUCCAAAUAAAUAAGGCUGUGAUUAAUGUCAAAACAGAAUUUCAGAAAUACCCAAUCCCCACUAGAUGGACCCUGAACCCAAUGCUGUCCAUGUAAAAACCUUCAAUAAUGUAAACAGCAGGCAAUUUGGCAUUAAGGUACUAAAUUUCAAAUAUGGAACUUCCUGAGUAUAUAUUUUUCACUUCACAUUUUUUUAAUCAACACCUCAUGCCCUAAUUAAUAUUGAUAGUUUUUGUCAUCAACUAAACUUGCUCCUCUAAACUUCCUUCAGCAUAGAUCCAAGAAAAAAUGAAUCUUUUUUAGAUAUAUCUCAAACUGAGGAAAGGCUCUCCCAUUUUUUUAUUAUGCCCCCUUCCACAACGAAACAAAAAUAACCUUCUUGCUUGGAAGAACUAAAUACCAUGUAAGAAAAAAAAUAGAAAAACUAUUAUCUUAAGCUCAAAUGAUAUAGGCACAACGCAAGAAGGUAACCCACCAAGAUUAUCCCCUCCAUAUAUUCAUAAAAUCUAUUCUCUGUUCUCCAAUUUCUAGCACUCAAAUGAUCAACAAUUAGGAUUUUGUACUGCGAGACAAGGACAUGCAGCUUCAAAACAAACAUUUGCUUUCAAGCUUCCUUCAGAAAACAGCAGUUAAUCCAGACCACAAGGAUCUUGAAGAAAUGCUUCAAGUUAAACAUUAAAAUUAAGUAGGAAGAAGAAUUUACGCCAAUGGAACAAUUUAAACAAAAAUCAUUCAACUGAAUUUGAGUAAAAAAGAAAAUGCCAGACUCAAAAGACAGACUACUAUUUCUCCAUUAAGACUAUUUUAAACAGAAUGUGUAUUUUCACACAAAUUAUCUAAUGGAAAUCCCGGCUCAGCAGUCAAACAUGUUCUUGUAAUAAUAAAAUUAUAUUACUAAAAUAUGACAUUCAAUAUUGUCCUGAAACAUGAGUAAAAUGAAGCAAAUAGAAACACAGCUGAAGAAACAAAGAAAGUAGAUGAUAAACACCAGACAGACGUAGAACACGAUUACAGGGGAAAAAAAAUCCAUAUACAGCUUUGCAGACAUAGAUUGUGUUGCUGAAUAACAAAGCCAGAAUCACCAGUCGCUCUGUGAAGAAUGUUA